rnacentral:rRNA from 1 species
GACGAACGCUGGCGGCGUGCUUAAUACAUGCAAGUCGAACGAAGUGGCGAACGGGUGAGUAACGCGUAAUCAACCUGCCCUUCAGAGGGGGACCACAGUUGGAAACUACUGCUAAUACCGCAUACUGAAGGAGGGGAUUUCGUUUGAUUAGCUAGUUGGAGGGGUAACGGCCCACCAAGGCGAUGAUCAGUAGCCGGGCUGAUAGGAUGAUCGGCCACACUGGGACUGAGACACGGCCCAGACUCCUACGGGAGGCAGCAGUAGGGAAUCUUCCGCAAUGGACGAAAGUCUGACGGAGCAACGCCGCGUGAGUGAUGACGGCCUUCGGGUUGUAAAGCUCUGUUAUUCGGGACGCGGUACCGAAAUAGAAAGCCACGGCUAACUACGUGCCAGCAGCCGCGGUAAUAC